ACAUUAUGCCCAUAUUUAAUGGGUCCAUUCGUCUAAAUCAAAGCCCACUGCCUACAACAAAUGAACAUGUGAAAAAGUGUAGAAAAGUCUAAUUAGCAGAUCAAUAACGCAUUGAUGUUAGUAGGGAAAGUUAGAAGAAAGAAAGAAAAGCUUCAUCCAUGUAUAAUUUUUUAUUUUUAGUCAUGCCUCUUAUUGGAGUUCUUAUAUGUUGGGAAUCAAUUUGCUGAAACAUACGGCACUUUAGUUUAUGUAUGCAUAUAUAUGCACAUCAAUAUUUGAGUUUGUGUUAAUGUUUAAUGCGUUGAUUUGAUGAUGAAAGCUAGGAGUCUUUUUAUUUAUUUUUGGUCAUUUAAUAUUAAUUUGAUGAUGAAAGCUACUAGUCUUUUUAUUUAUUUUUGGUCAUUUAAUAUUAAUUUUUUCCCUUGAAGUUUGAUUUCGAGUAAAAUUUGGUUGGGUAUUAGGAUUUGAUUCUCAAUCUAUAAUGUCUAAUAUUUUGGUUUGAUUUUUGUAUUCAUCUUCCCAUGAAUCUGAUGUUGGUGAAUCAAAAUUGGUUAGGGUUUUAAUAGUUACAGUUCAUUGUAGAUUUAUAACUGUGUAGAUAUGGGUGAUUUUUUUUAGGUUUUUUUUGCCAAAUGGAUGAAGUCGAGGUUGAGGUUGAGGUUGAUAAGCUGUUAUGGUUCGAAUGCGCUGGGAAGAUGGUGCUAUUGCCAUGCGUGGGUUCAUACGUUUACUAUUUUGCUCAGGACACGCUGAGCAUUUGGGCGCUGAGAGUCGUAGGAUAGCUCCAGCCAUGAUCCCUUGCAGAGUUUCCAAUAUUUUAAGUGAUAUCUUGAGUCCUCACUACAUUUCUGCGCUUUUUUGCAAUUCCUACUGAUAUAAGACCAUCAUUCUCACCCUUCCUGCACACGAUUACAUCAUCUUUAUGAAGUUUUUUUUAGUGUUCACAAAUUCUUUCCAGUUUUUACUUAAAUAAACUAUGACGGUGAAGGGAAAAUGAGUAUUAAGGAUGUCGACUUUAGUAAAAAUUUUAAUUUGUAACUUCAAAAUUAUAGUCACCAGCAUUGUAUUAGUCAUAUCUUCCCAAAAUUAACCCCCGGAGACCUCCCAGCUCAUACACGCACGAUAUAUCCAUGGUAUACCUUGGGAGGUCUCCAGGGGUUUAUUUAAGUAAAAACUGGAAAGAAUUUGUGAACACGAAAACCACUUCAUAAAUAUGAUGUAAUCCUGCUUAGGAGGGGUGAGAAUGAUGUCUUAUAUCAGUAGGAAUCGCAAAAAAGGCAAAAGUAUAGUGAGGACUUGACAUAUUACUGAAGGAGUCACCAAGGCUGUCUGCAGGCAACCAUUCGAUGCUGUUUGUUACCCAAGAUCUUUGAGUCCACUUUAUUGUGUGCCGGUCUUACUUGUAACCGCAACAUUGAAUAUUGAUUGGCAGUCGGGGAUGAGGUUUAGAAUGCACUUUGAAUCCGAGGAUUCUACAGAUAUUUAACGGUUCGAGGGGACUGUGGCCUAUCCUAAUCCCAGGCGGCAUUCACUCUGGAAGCUUUUGAAGGUGAUUCAAGUCAAAUAAAACGUCUAUUUUUAUUCUGUGUUCUUUUAAUAUGCAUCUUAAUUAGUUGUUUUCGCUUAAGAAAAAUAAGUUUGUUAGCUGUUAUGUUGAAUUGACCGGUUGUAAAGGUUACAUGGGAUAAUCCCAUCCGGAAAGAAGAAUUUGUAAAUCCAUGGGAGGUUGCAUCAAUCUGGCACUUCCAUCACCACAAGGGCCAGAGAAUUCUAAGAAAUCUGAUAAGUCCACCCAAGCUUUUUGGCGUAAAACUUUAUUCCGAGGAGAAAAUUUUGCAAAGUCGAUCAAAAAGGUUAGGGUUGCUUUAGUAGUAAGGGAUUAGUAACUUUAUUCACUGAGUAUUAUACUACUUAUUAGAUAGACAUUAUAAACUGUUUACCAGGCAAUUAAAAUCAAUCUGACCUUCCCAUCCUUAAGGAGGAGGGGAGGGGUUCGAGCCCAGUUGUGGGCAAUAUUGUGUGUGAGUGUGAUUCUUACCAAAGUAAAAUAAUAAUAAUAAUAAUAAUAAUAAUAAUAAAACCAAUCUGAUUUCAAUGACCCUGACAAUUAUGGACCAUAACAGAGAUGUCCAAUUUUGUGAAAAGAGUGUUUAAUGGACUCAUGCAUGCAUGUGGUGUGCAUCUCUCUCUCACAUUUUAUUUAUUUAUUUUUUAGGGUGAUUUCUCUUCAGUAAUUGUGUUUAAAUAUUUCUGCUGAGCACCUUUCAUUAUCAAAGCAGUACCUGUAUCUUACUGCAAAUUUUCUGUUCUUUGACAAGAAUUAGGUUUUAUGAUACAUAUGCAUAUUUAUUCACCAUUUAGGUUCACAUUCGUCUAUAGUAUUAUUGUGUGGGUGUGUCUAGACACCAUUUCCUAUCUUGUUAUUUGUGUGCACAAGUGUUUGUAGAGAAGGAUAUGUGUGCACAUCCUGGCUAUAUUGGAGGAAUGUGUGUACAUUGCGGCAAAAAGAUGGAUGAUGGUUCUGGUGUGCCAUUGGGAUAUAUACACAAGUGUGUUGAGAAAAUGAUGUACACGGGCCAGAGAAUUCUAAGAACUCUGAUAGUCCACCCAAGCUUUUUGGCGUAAAAGUGUGAAACUAUAUUAUGAUGAGAGAAUUUUGCAUUGGUCAAGGCUACCGAAGGCAAGAAGGUAAGGGUAAUCAUAACUUGGAGGAAAAACAAUGUGUCACCUUUUGCUUUAGUAAUAAGGGAUUAGUAACUUUAUUUACUGAGUAUCAUACUGCUGCUUAUUUAGACAUUAUAAACUGUCUACAAUGCAGUUAAAAUCAAUCUGGCCUUCCCGUCCUCAAAGAGGAGGGGAGGGGCCCAGUUGUGGGCAAUAAAGUGUGUGUGAGUGGGCAUGUGAGUGUGUUUCUUGCCAAAGUAAAAUAAUAAUAAUAAUAAUUAAAAAAAAAAAAAAAAAAAAAAACCAAUCUGAUUUCAUUGACCCUGACAAUUAUGGACCAUAACAGAGAUGGCGAAUUUUUUGGAAAGAGUGUUUAAUGGAUGCUUAAUGGACUCAAGCAUGCAAGUGGUGUGCAUCUCUCUCACUUUUUUUUUUACGUUGAUUUGUCUUCAGUAAUUGUGUUUAAAUAUUUCUGCAGAGCACAUUUCAUUAUCCAAACAGUACCUGUAUCUUUCUGUAAUUUUCUGUUCUUUGACAAGAAUUAGGUUUUAUGAUACAUCUGCAUAUAUGCACCAUUUAGGUUCACAUUCGUCUAUAGUGUUAUUGUGUGGGUGUGUCUGGACACCAUUUCCUAACUUCUUGUUUGUGUGCAGAAGUGGUUGUAGAGAAGGAUAUGUGUGCACAUCCUGGCUAUAUUGGAGGAAUGUGCGUACAUUGCAACAAAAAGAUGCAUGAUGGUUCUGGUGUGCCAUUGGGAUAUAUACACAAGGUCAUCUUAUUUGAAUUUUAGUCAUGGAGUUACGAUUUAUUCUAAUUUUAUAUAGUUCUUUUAUUUCGCCAAUUGGAAAAGAAUAAGUGGAUUUUCUUCUUUGAUUCAGUAUGUUGAGAAAAUGAUGUACUUUCAAUCAGCAAUGACAUAUUAAAAAAUGCUAUAGAUCUUCAUUUUGAACAUCCUAAAUUAUUUUUGCUAUUUAAAAAGGAGAGCUUCAAAUCAGCUUUUAGAGAUUUCAGGACAUCCAUCUAAACAUACAUAUUACUCCAUAGCUGUUCUCUCUUGAUUUAAUUUGUGUUUGUAUAUAAGUGCAUUUCUAUUUGCAGAAUUUAAGGCUCACUGAGGAUGAAAAAGCUCUAUUAUGCAAUCUAUUACGCAACAGAGACUUCAAGAAUUUAUUACGUCAUAAAAAGCUUUACUUGAUGCCAAGGGCGGAUUUGCCCACCCCAAUUAUUUUUUUUAUUUUUUAUUUUUAUAUAUUUUAUAUUCUAGGCAAUUUUAGCCCAGCCCAAAAAAAAGAAAAAGUAUUACUAGUAUUAGCCCACCUAAAGAAAUAUUAGCCCAUCCCAUUGACAAUUCCUGGAUCCGCCCACCAGAGCCCACCCCAAAAUUUAUUUAUUUAUUUUUUAUUAUGGGCAAUUUUAGCCCAGCCCAAAAAAAGAAAAAGUAUUACUAGUAUUAGCCCACCCAAAGAAAUAUUAACCCAUCCCAUUGACAAUUCCUGGAUCUGCCCUUGCUUGGUGCUUGAUUUAGAUCACAUACUGCGUAAUUCAACUAGUUUCCUAGAUGUAACACCCGAAGAAGAAUAUUUAAAGAGCCAGAGCGAUUCUUUGCAAGGUAUGAUUUAUUUAUGUGUUAUGUGCUUUUGCUUUAGUAGUAAGAUUUGUGAGGCUUUAUUCACUGAAUAUUGUAUUGCUAAAAUUAUGGUGUCUUCAUAAUCUUCUAUAGACAUUAUACACCGUCUACCAAGGCAUGGUUUCGUGAAAGAUUAUAAUCUUUUGUGAAUGGAAACUUUUUAGAAUAUUCUUGGAUAAUCUUUCUGUUUUGCCUAUAGCAUUUAAGUUUUAACAAAAUUCAGGAAGAAGUGAAAAAAAUGUAGUAUGUCAUUGUGCUAGAGUCACGUGGAUAUAGUAUUGGGAAGUGGUAUUUUCCUCAAAUCUCAUAAUAGAAUGGAUAAUGUGAUCUUCUGAAACAUUUGUUGUGUUGUUGAGUACUAACUGGGAAAUGUAGUUACAUUGGGGCUACAAAUUCUCCUAGCUUGGUUUUCACUUAGUAGUCUCUCUUAAACUAAAGUUCAAAUUUAAAAUGACUAAUCUUAUCAUCAAUUUCCUGAUUUUUCACUUUUCAACUAAGCUAAUUAUUAUGUCCUUGUGAAUCAAUUCUGGUUCUUGGAUUCUUACUCAGUAUUUCAUAUUAUUCAUGUUCAUCGUAAUUACUUAUUAUCUCACAAUUUUGACUCUGUACAUGUUUUUAUUUUUAUUUUUUUUAUGGAAUUCAAUAUGUAAAUUGGGUGAUGUUUCAAAAGGUAGCCUAUUCAGUUUAGACUUCAUGCACAUGUUGACCAAGUUGCGGCCUUUUGUUCGCACAUUUGUAAAAGAAGCAAGCAACUUAUUUGUGAUGUACAUUUGCACAAUGGGUGAGCAGUCAUAUGCAAUGGAAAUGGCAAAGCUGCUUGACCCUGAAAAGUUGUAUUUUUACUCUAGAGUCAUUGCAAAAGAAAAUUGCACACGGAUGCAUCAGAAAGGUCUUGAUGUGGUGCUCGGUCCAGAAAGUGCCGUGCUGAUCCUUGAUGAUACUGAGCAAGUAAAUUUGUAAUCAGCUAAACUUUAUGUUUGCUUAAAUAUUUAGUUAUUGGGUGGUUUAUCAUAUCAUGUGGUUCAUGUUCAUGCAUUUGUAGUUAUUAGCAGAGAAUGUUGUGUUCGAAUCUGGCUAUUCACUUGGUCACUUGUCUGUUUAUUGUGUUUGCCUGCAAUUGUUCUUCCUGACAAAAGGAUGCUAUGAAAUGCUUAAGCAAAGAUAAUUUGAGACGCCUUUUUUUUUUUUUUUUUUAAAUUUAAAGGGACAUGUAGUGCACAUCUUUUUGUUGAUUCCCACAAUCAAGUUCGUAAUGCAGUCACUAUGUAAUGUACCGAACCUAAGCUUCAGUUAUGGUGGUUGGACGAUGUAAAAAGUAAUAGCGAACCCCGUAGCUACUUGUACUAGAAAGCAAGUUUAAUCUGCUUGAGGCCAAUCAUUAAGUAAAUAACUAAAUACGGAGUAUGUAGUUUUCCAUGGAGAGAUUAUGCAUGUCUGCCACCAAAAGGAUUGUAAUGUUGGCCCAGACAGUCAGUUAUCCAUUAUGAUUGGCAACAAUAUUCUUACUUUUAAUAUUUGAUAAUUUUACAGGCUUUUUGAAAAUCGGAUGAUGCCUUUACACCUUUGGGAGUGUCGUGUAUACAGAAGUUGGAAGUCAUUGGUAUUAUAGUAUUAACCGUUUGAAAUUAUUUUAGGAGUUAUUUGCUGAGAAAUUCCUAUAUCAGUCAUCAGUUUUGAAUUUGAAAGCUAUCUUGAUUUAUUCACAACGUAACUUAACUGCCUUUUUGCAAUGGUGGUUCAAGUUUUCCCCAUAUUCAUUCUAGCAGUGCAACCUUAUCAAAUUUUAAAUUGGUCAGAAAUAUUACUGAAGAGUAAUAUGGUAAUGGAUUGUGGGUGCUAAAUGCAGUUGCAAUCAAGAAUACAGCUCAUGAGCAGUGAAAUGCCAAAUGGCCAUUGUACCUUUUAAUCUUUUUACACCCUUUUAGAGAACAUUAUGGACGAUGUAAGUUAUAUUAAGAAUGAAUUUGAUUAGUUUUGGAGGAACUGAAUUCGUGAUUACUGAACAUGCCAAGAAACUUUUUAUUCAUUUUAUACCCUUAGGGUCUCUCCCCCCCUUCCCCCCCCGGCGGCGGGGGGCAAAGAACUACCAUUAUGUUCUUGGGGAGACUCAAAUUCUCCACCUUUCACUUUAAAAGGAGAGAAUAUACCACUAGGACACAGGCUUUGGGAAUGUAUGUUACCAAACUAUUUUGUCAUUAUAAUUCAUUUCAUUAGUAAUGUUUAUCAUCAUACUUAUCAAAAAAAAAAUUAGUAAUGUUUAUCAUCACAUUUUAAAUUUUGUUUUAUUUAAAGGACCAAUUUUGAAAAUAAACUGCUGAUACAAAUUGAUAUUCCUUCCCUUUAUCAGUCAUAGCUCGAGGACUUUGACCUUCAUUUAUGAGAAAAACAAAAGAAGAAUGGGAGUUUGACCUAUUUGAAAGUGGAUGCUCAUUUUAAGUUUUUCUGGAAUUUGUGUAUUGGGUAAUCAGUGGUCUGUACAUUCUUUCAUCAAUGAUAGUUAAUACAUAUCUCCUCAUUUUGUUCAAUUCCAUAAUACAUGGGAGCAGAAUUCAACUGUUACUUUCUCCUUCAAUGAUUUUUAAUCUGAAUAUCCUCAUUUUAUUUAAUUCCUUACUACAUAGGGGGAAAUUAAAUUAUUACUUUCUUUGUAGGAAUAUUUGAAAAAUGAUCUAGGUUUGAAUUUAUCCUUAGAAGAAGAAUUUGAUUGGAAACCAUGAUGGAAAAUCAAUUCAUAUGGACCCGUUGAAACUAGAAUCUUCUCUAAAAACUAAGCUUUAAGUUGUAUUCAGUACACUCCAUAGGAUUCUUCAAGUAGUUUGGCAUCCUUCCAUAUUACUUAAAGGCAACAUCUGUUUCUAUGGAGAUCAUUUCCUGCUUUUAAACUCAUAUUGUGGAUGCUUACUCCCUGAAAUAGGCAGGCGUGGUUGCUUGGUGAGUGAUAAAAGCUCGGGCUGCAAGCAUGAGAAUUGCAGUUUCGACUCUAACAACAGCCAUUUUGUACUAAUAAAGGGAAAGUCUGGCUGUACCUCUGUCCACCCUCCUAUUGCACUCGAAAAUCAGUUCAUAUGGACCCAUUGAAAAUAGAAUCUUCUUUAAAAACUAAAGCUGUGAGUUGUAUUCAGUAUACUCUAUAGGAUUCUUCAAGUAGUUUGGCAUCCUUCCAUAUUGCUUGACGGUAAAUCUGUUUCUAUGGAGAUCAUUUCCUGCUUUUAAACUCAUAUUGUGGAUGCUUACCUCCUUAAAUAGGUAGGGGUGGUUGCUUAGUGAGUGAUAAAAGCCCGGGCUGACUAUAGCAGCAGCCAUUUUGUUCUAACAAAGCCAAAGUCUGGCUGUACCUCAGUCCACCCGUCCGUUGCACUCGAUUAACGGGGACUACUGGAUAAUGGUUCAUUUUUACCUUUUCAAAUGGCCUGAACUUCAGUGUACUGUAUAGCUGAUAAAUUUUGUCCAAUACUUUGGUGGACUUCUGUAAAUGGCUGAAUACUAGUCUACUGGAUGGUUGCUAAAAUUUUGUGGAAAGAAUUGGGUGGAAAUUUCCACCCCUAAUCUAUCUCUAUAUAUAUGUUUUGUUGAUGCGAUUUAAAAAACAUUGUGUGUGUCUGGGUCUGGUAAAUGAGAUGUAGGUAUUGUAAUAUGAUAAUGGUGGUCCCAGGUCAAUGAUUAGGGUGAAAGCCUAGGCAACCUUUGAGAAGUGAGAGUUCACUGAUGGAGAAACUCUUGGAGAAUCUCGUGGCCCUAUACGUUUCUUCUUUUUGCUUGAAUAUUGUCCAAAAUUUACGUCUCCCUAGCAUCUGCAGACAUUUAAUCCUGGCAUUGCUUAGUAACUGCAAACUACUCAGGCUGUGAGUUCAAGCCCUGACAGCAGCCUAUUUGUGCAAAUAUCCUUAAUUAUCUGGGACCACAGUGGGUAAUGACCUUUGUAAAUACCAUUGCGUUUCUACAUGCAUGUUAUUUACUUUGGUAACACAUUCAUUUGGAGUCGAUCUAUACCAUUUAGAAGCCUAAAAAUAUAUGUCAGUGUCCUUUAUUUUAGGUUUGGGUGAAGUCAGAAUAAGUAGAAUCUGUUACUGAUGGACAGCUAUCAUUUCUUUGCUUCGAGUUCUCGACAAUUUGGCUUCAAUUGUAAGUCUCUUUCUGAGCUAAAAAGUGAUGAAAGUGAGGUUGAUGGAGCCCUUAGUACCGUUUUUAAAGUUCUCAGGUGCAUCCACAGUAUUUUCUUCGACCCGGAACUUGGGGACAAUCUUGAGAACAGAGACGCAAGGCAGGAGAAGAUCUAGGGUGCUCUGAGCAGAACCCACUUUCUCAUGUUGGUGCUCUUGCCUCUUAGAUCGCGGUAUGUUUGGGCAAUCAAAUCACUUCUUUGCUCUUUCCCAACUGAUCAAAUCAGUUCUUGGAUCAACUACAACUUCGAUAUUCAAUCGCGUGCAUCAAGUAUUGUUGGCUCAAUCAGUUUUCGGAUAUGGACUUGACCAACCUACACAUGAAAAUUGGGGGUAUCACAGGUGACGUAGGAGUCCUCAUCGAGGACGGCGUGGGUUUUGCUAGGGUUUUUUGCAGGUUGGGUUGAAGAAAUGAUGGUUAGGGUUUGUAAGAGUUUUUCAGAGAGAAUGUGAUGGUGAAGAGGUGUCGAUGUGAGUGGCCUGAAGAUAAAAGCAUGGCGAGAGACAAAGAAGAUAUUUGUAAAGGUAGGGUUUUUGAAAGAGAAAGAGGGAGAUUACAAAAUUGCAAGACUGAUCAGUGAUGAUCCCCAAUAUUAUGGAGAAAUUAUGUAUAUACUAUGCACACACACACACACACAUAUAUAUGCAUAUACCGUUCUACGACUGGAGGAUGGUUGUGUGGAUGGUAGUGGUGAUGGUUUGUGGGAUGGAGAGGAGAGAUGAAUGGUUGGUGGGAUGAUGGUUGGAUGGUUCUAGUGAUGGUUGUUGGGAAAAGAAGUGGAAAGAACAAUGAAUGUCGAAUUAAUCUUUUUGCGUCUUUGUGUGAUUAAAAUAGGAUGUGUGUUCAAUCAACUAAGUACAAAUAAAAUAAGCAAUGAGAAUCAUCCAUAAAGUGACAGCAAGAUAUAUGUGGAAAAAACCCACAAAGAAAUAAAAUUCGAAGUCUGAUUUCAAUUUUUACUGUGCAACAAUAAUGGGGUAUACAAUUUUCUUCUC